AGUUAUAGUUUGUUUGAUGGUAUCUACUUCUCUAAUGACCGUAGUAAUUAUAGUGCUAAUAUGUGCAACAAACCCUGAUUAUUGGAAGGGAUGAAUUUAUUAGCUAAAAGGUCGAUGAGGGCUUUGCCUGUUGUUGUGAUGAUUCAUGAUAACUCAACGAAUCGCACGAACAUUGUGUCGGCGAUGCAUCAUUCAAAUUUCU
rfam:Capsicum annuum cultivar Zunla-1 chromosome 3, whole genome shotgun sequence